rnacentral:rRNA from 1 species
ACACCGCCCGUCGCUACUACCGAUUGAAUGGCUCAGUGAGGCUUUCGGACUGGCCCAGAGAGGUGGGCAACUACCACUCAGGGCCGGAAAGUUAUCCAAACUCGGUCAUUUAGAGGAAGUAAAAGUCGUAACAAGGUCUCCGUUGGUGAACCAGCGGAGGGAUCAUUACUGAGUU